CAAAGAUUUCUUCCGUAAGAUGGUGUGACUUCUCUCUUAAAUGCAUAAAUAAUUUACUUCUGAUGUCAUCUGAGUCUUGAAUAUUUUGUUGCAAGGUUUUUGUAUUUGUUUGUUUGUUUUAGAUGGAGUCUCGCUCUCUCGCCCAGGCUGAACUGCAGUGUCGCUAUCUGGGUUCACUGCAAGCUCCGCCUCCCGGGUUCACCACUCUCCUGCCUCAGCCUCCUGAGUAGCUGGGACUACAGGGCAAGGUUUUAAAUUAAGAAUUUUAUAUGCAUAUCACACAUAUAUGUAUUAUCAAUUGAAGAGGCCAUGUGUUCAAGAUGAUGGAGCUACCGAGUGGCAAAUCUUCCCUCAGCCGUGGACCAGUGUGUCACCAUAUAGAGAACAGUUACCCAGGAGUGUACUCAUCCUGUAUGAAAUUCGGGUCCAAAUUUCCUUGGUACUAAUAUCCCUGGAAGCAUCCCUCUGCCAAUAAUAACAUAGAUGUCGGUGGAGAGAAUGGUAGCAGAAACAGACUCGGGGGCUUUAUGGAGAGAGGAACAUAUUAACUCCUGACCUACAAGAAAGUUGGGCAGGACUUCCCUGACAGACUUCGUACUAAACAGCUGUCCCAAGACACUGAAGUGAGGAUGGCCUCACAUAACUCCAGCCUGCUUUUCUCUAUUAAACACUGAAGCCCUCAUAAUCGUCUUUGGAGAAAGGCACAUACUACAGACUGUUUCUGUGACUCUGCAUUUAUUAUUUUUAGCUCUGAUGUUGGUUUCAUGGCUUGGAUCAAGGAGGGCAGCCUAGGUUGACUGAGAUUGACUGCCUGGCUAGCUGUGCUGAGAAGGAUCAUGAGGCUGUUUGGCAGCAACACUGCUAUCCUUACCUUAGAUGGAGGCAUUGGAAAACAGGGUCUUACUGUUGCCCAGGCUGGAGUAUGGUGGCAUGAUCACCGCUCACUGCAGCAGCCUCUAUCUCCUGAGUUCAAGUGAUCUUCCCACAUCAGUCUCCUGAGUAGCUGGGACUACAGGCAUGCACCACUAUGCCUGGGUAAUUUUUGUAUUUUUUGCAGAGAAGGGGUUUUUCCAUGUUGCCCAGGCUGGUCUCGAACUCUUGAUAUCAAGGGAUCCACUCACCUUGCCUCCCAAACUAUUGAGAUUACAGGUGUGAGCCACUGCAACCAGCCUUGCAGUCAUUAAUCUUUAUGCUGCUCAUAUUAUUGCAGAUUAGGCUGUGGGAUCCUCUCUUAAAAUGGGCUUUUGUGCCCCUUUGACAUGAUCCCAUAUGUUUGUGCUAGCUUUCUAGCAUGAUGGUAUAUGCUGAACAAAUCCAGUAUAUUUCCUGAUCAGACCCGGAAGCAAUUUUUAUCAAGGAGUCCUGGUUUCCUUGAGAGAGAACUGGUAUUUAGAGACCAUAAUGUGAGCUGUAGGAGUGUUUCUUUCUACUGCGUCAUUACUUCUGCGUUUUCGAUGGAAAGAACUAGAAAAUACCCUCCUUCUUUUAGAGAGAAUAAAAUAUGGGUUAUACUGAUAUUUCCAAUUUAAAUAUAAGAUUACAUGAUUGCUACUCAAAUUCUUGGAUUUGAUACUUGAAUCUCUUCUCUUAUUCUAAAAAUCUUGAAUUCUAAUAAAAUCAAUAUAAUUAAUUAUUUUCUUUAUCAUGGAAAGCAUCUAUAAUGAUUUGAAAAUAAUUUCAAAAUUUUGUUAACAAGUCUACAGAAUCUUUCAAAUUUUGUUGCAGUUAUUUUGGAUCUUGGAAUAUAUUCCAUUAGAGAUUUGCUGUUAAGGUACUAUGUUUUAAAAGCUCAUGAAGUAAUUUAUUUCCCUGUUUGAUUGUGCUGUUAAGGUCAUAUGCAGUAGGUUCAUUUUCUGUGGUCUGGUUUUGAUUUUUAAAAAUCACUUUUAAAUUAUUAUUUAAAUUACGUAAAUUAAAAAUGUAUAUGGCUCCAGUCAAAAUUAUGUGCAUAAAUUCAGAAAAGUUUGCUUUCAUUCCUGUCUUAUCCUCCUUUCAUUGGUAAACAUAUCUUAGCCUUAUUCUUCCAUUAAAUCAUUGUGAAAAUAUUAAAAACUACGUAUGAAAAUUUGAUUCUCUCUUUUCUUAUACAAAAGUUAGAAAACUAUUAAUAUUGUUCUCCACUUGUAUUUUUCACUUAACAAUAUAUCCUAGAAAUUACCAGCAUAUAGAUGUCUUCCUUGUCCCAUUUUACCAUUGCAUAGUACUCCCUUGAGUGAACAUGAAUAACAUAGUUAAUUUAACAAGAUUGUUGUAAGACUGCUAUUGCUGGACAUUUGGCUCUUUCUUUUCUAUGAUGAACAACACUUUCAUGCAUAGCUUAUAUAUAUAAAAUUUUCCCCCACUUAAUCUUUGAGAUAGAGUCCUAGAAGUGGGAUUACUGGGUCAAUGGAAAAUAAAUACACAUGUAAUUUGGUUAUAUUUUAUCAAAUUUUCCUUCAUGUGUGUUAUGUAAUUUUGCAUUUCUACCAACAAUACAUGGCAGUACUUGUUUAUCCACAGUUUUAUCAAUGAGAAGUAUGGAUUUUUUGCUAAUUUGAUCAGUGGAAAGUAGUUUCUUAGUGAGUCAACAUUUAUAUCUGUCUUAUCAUGAGUGAGGCUAAAUAUUGUUUUCUGUGUUUAAAGGCCAGUUGAAUUAAUUUUUCUGUAAACUGU
rnacentral:lncRNA from 1 species